UAUACAACAAAAUGAACAUAAUAGGACCAUAAGAGAAUAAGAAUUGAAACCCUACCCUAGGACCUGAAGCUCCUGAACGGCCGAACGCGAAACGCCCUCAUGCACAGAUUCAGUGAUCUCAUUGAAUAGGGCCGGAAACAGUUUUAUUGUUUGGGAUUUUUACAAAUUUUCCACUAUCCUGCUGCCUAGAUACUUCAAGCACAGCAAUUUUUCCAGUUUCAUUCUGUCUGGUAAAUCUGAUACUUUUUCUUAUUUUAAUAUGGAACCAAAUCGACCUCUUGCCAAGAAAGGAAGAACCAAAUCGACCUCUUGCCAAGCUUGCAGAGAAAUUUUAUCCUCAAGAUUUUACACAACAAAAUAUUUAUAGUUUGAAAGUUGAGUUGCAACAUUAUCAGCAUAAUGUGAUUUCUGAGCCUCGAUUUCAAGUAUCUACACUUUCUGUUUUAUGUCAAGAAUUUGUUGCAAGUAGAAGAUCGGAGAGUUACGUCAAUUUGACUAAAUUGAUUCGUCUAGUAUUGACACUGCCUGUUUCAACAGCUACCGUAGAGCGAGCAUUUUUUGCAAUGAAACAUGUGAAAACGAAAAUUCAUAACAAAAUGGAUGAUGGUUUUCUUGCUAAUUGUAUGACACUUUACAUUGAACGAGAAUUUUCUUUGAAUUUAGAUUUAGAUUCUAUUAUUGAUGAAUUGUAUGCUAUAAAGUAUCGUCGGGUGCAACUGUAACUGAUAAUAUUAAAUUAUGACUUUUUUUGUUAUUUAUAAAUUUUAUUCGUACAUUAAAUUUCUAAAGUUUUGUCCCCCGUGACAUUAAUUCCUGGCGACGUCCCGGCUGACCAGCCUGAACAUGUGCCUAACGUUAAACCUAAAAAUAAGGGAUUUGUAGGACAGAGAUCUACUAAACAGCGUAGGGCUUGUCGACUUAGGAAUAGACGUCAGCGAUCACACAACAUUAGUCCUAGGUUUAUCCCUACAUGCUUUCCCCGUGGUAAGUUAGGACACAUACGCCAUAGGUGUCAUCAAUUCCUGAAUAGAUAGAGAAAGCUUAAAGAGGAAUAAAAAUUAGGAUUUUGUUGGUCAGAUUGGAUUCCUUACUGAUUAAUAAGUCGUUCGACCAAGUUGGUGACACAGCUGUAUGGGAAUUGUUCUCCCACUAUGCAAAUUUGGAUGAAAAAGAGUGAUGCAAAACUGUGAAGUAGACCAUGAUAUUCUUAAACGUAAGAGCAUUAUUUUACCGAAUUGAUUAGGUAAUUUUGGUGCAUGCUGAUGCUUAUCACUGUGUGUCAUUGAUCUAUUCAUGCAUCUCAUUUAUUUUUUUGCUUUCUAGGUUGUUGUUUUAAACAUGUGCAUCUUUGUUGUGUUUGCAUUGGCACAUGCACUUUUCGUUGUUGUUUUGUAUAUGAUUUUUUUAUAGUUUUAUGUUCUUGGAGCAUUCAUGUUUUUCAAUAUAAAAAAAAUAAAAAAUAAAAAAAAUUGGGGAAUGGAUUAUUUUCUACAGCAUGAUAUAUAACAUUCUUCAACUUGUGUGUUGUGACCAUAUAUAGGCUUUGAUUGAUGAGCUGUAGCACAUUUUCCAUUACUUGCUUAGGUUGUUAUGGAGGACUUAAUUUACAAGUCUUCAUUUACCAUCGGCACUGCACACACUAUGAUAUGUAAGUGGGACUUAACUGCGUGUCUGAGAUUUGGGAUGGUCGUUAAUUGUUAGUAAGGUGACUCUAAACAUGAAUUGACCAAAUUUGUUAGACCUAAACUCAAGUAUACCCCUCAUAAUAAAAAGCUCAAUAUCUUAUGUUCUUCUUAGGAGCCUAUUUGACUUGAUCAAUUAAGCCGCGUGGUAUCUCAAAACCCGGUGCCUAUGGUAUAUUGAUUUAGGUUAACUGGCCUAAAGCUUGCUAUAGGGAUCAUCUUAGUCACUUAAUGGAAAAUGAACUGCACUUAGAUAUAAAAAUUGGUGAGCUUUAAAAAUAUUGAAAAAUAUACUCAAAGUUAAGGGAAGAAAAGAAAAGAUCAAAAUAUAUGCAAAAUGAGCUUCAUUUAAAGGUCUUAAUGUUCUUAAUGAUUUGACUUUCAUAAGUAGGAGAAUAAAUUUAUUAGCAGUGAUAUUUUACAUGUCCUUUUUCACAAAAUUAAGGUUUGGAGUCCUGCCUACAAAGGAUUAGUGAUACUUUACACUCAUGAGUCACUUAUAUAGUUUACUCCAUUUUAACUUAAAAUGAGUAUGUGGGAAAGCUUACUAAUCAUUGAUUAUACUUGUGCAUACUUUCAACUUCAUUUUUAAAUUGUUAUAUAUUGUUGCUAAAAUUGAGUUUGAAAUUACAUCCUUCGUCAUUUAUGACAAAAAGGGGGGAGAGAGUAUAUACAAAGGACGAAGAGGAUAUACAUAGGAGAAGAAGCUUGAAAUUGAAUUUUGGGUCUAGGGUUCAUUGGGAGAGAAAGAUAGAUACAUUUUGAUACUGUAUAAAAAUGUUGAAAUUUGCAGUAAGAGGAAGAAUUUGCAUUCCAUAUCAUAAUGAAUAGCUGUUUGAUUUUUGAUAUUUUGUGAUGUUAAUAUUUUGGUUGGUGUUUUGAUUGACAUUGAUGUCACGUCUCAAACUAGCAUGCUUAUUUAUGAUUAUGAACUUUAGCUGUUAUAUUCUCUAUAACACGUGCAUUUACACUUGGUAUUUGAGUUUUUGA